UCCUGAAUCCCUGUCAGAACAAGGGAAUAUGUGAGGAGGUUGGAGCUGGUUAUGUCUGCACCUGCAUGCCUGGGUUCACAGGUGCAAAGUGUGAGAUCGACAUAAACGAGUGUGACUCGGCUCCGUGCCAGAAUGGAGGUCUGUGUAAGGACGGGAUGGGAGACUUUCAGUGUCAGUGCAAACCUGGAUUUUUAGGUUCUCUGUGUGAGGCCGAGGUAAACGAGUGCAUCUCCUCCCCGUGUCUGAAUGAAGGAGUGUGUGUGGAUGAA